UGGCCAUUGUCUACCAAGAAGCCUUGCUAUCCCUUUUGACCAAACUAUCAAGUAUAAAUCAAACUUUGGAAAAGAAAGCAUGCAUUGUCAUCUUUCUGGGAAGUACCUUAUGAAGCACUGCUGUACACCUACAUGGCUAUCAAAAUAAAAAUAAAUCUUUCCUGGAUUCAUGCAAGUCAUGCCAAGCUAGACAGAGAUCAUCAUUUCCAGAAAAAUUGAAAAGCUAUUCUUAGAGCUGACUUCAAACCAAGGAUUUUCAGGGACAAUUCACAGGGUCCCAAAGCAGAUGACAACAAAAAGUGGACUAUUUUUUCCAAUAUCUUCGAUCAAGAAUUACCUUUUCACCUAUUUUCCCUUGAUAUCUUUUUCUUCUCUGACCAAAGGAAAAAAAAAGUAAAUAAAAACCUCAAAAACCUCUUUGAGCUUUAAACAGAAACCUUCCCCUUUAUUUAUUGAUGGACUGUCUGGAGAUUGCUACUCUUUUCUUCUUCUGUUUCUUCACAAUGAGGUGUUUUCCAAACUAUGUCUUGCUUCAACUAACUCUUAUGGCUUUUUUUUUUUUUUUUUUUGACAAUUCUAGCAUAAAUCCAACAUCUACUUGUGCCAGUCUUCUGAACACUGGCAACUUUAACUAAUCACUCUGAAUUUCGGUUACGUCAACAUAUAGGUAUAUAGACAAAGCUAACUAGUUUUUGUUUCUGCCAAUGCAAAUACCUGGUGGACACAGACUGGACUAUGGAUGUGCAAAAGGGUAUGGUAUCUACAAACAGGAAGACAAAAAUCACUUCAACUCUCUUUCUGGUAAACUGAUUUGGCACUUGGAAAAUUCCAUGGAAGCUCAAGUUCUAUUCUUUGUUCAGGUGACGUUAUUGAAUGGACAAAUUUCCCUUUUCAUUGGAAAAAGAAAUGGUACUGGACCCUUUCUAGGUAAGAUACCAUGACAACACUGAAAUCAAACCAAGGUGUAAUUUUAAACCCUGCACAAAUGUCAUAGAUGGUUCUAUUACUAACUUUUAAGAGACAAGCAUUUGUCUGGUCACUGGGUGUCACUCUUGGUUUAUGGGCCAUGCUAGCAGGCUCUGGAAUACCUUAGCUGUUUCUCUGAUCAGGCAGCUUAUUCUAAAAAAUCGUAUGUGGCUAAACCAAAGUUUUUUUAUUAACUUGGUUAGGUGGUAAAAGUGAUUUUCAUAACUGCCGAGAUCAGGCUGUAGGUCUCCUCUAGCAAAUAAUUCACAACUUGUUUUGCUCUUACAUCCUGAUAGAAACACAUGUAAAUAGAGAAGCACAGAUCCAGCAUAACUGAUGACAGAGGUUGUAAAAGACAUCAGAUCCCAACUUGAUCUCUUGCCUCACAGCUUCUAACCCAAAUCUUCAUUCUGCAGCAACCAACACAGCUUCUCAUUUGUAAAACUUCUCAAGACGUUUCAAAAUGGAAGAAAUGCUGAAACCCACAAAGAACCCUCAAGUUGGUGUGGUUAUUUUUAGUUGAAGACAUUUGAGAUUCAACAGAUGCAGAAAAGAACCUUCUCAGAGCUUCCUUCAUCUGAUUAAUGCAUCUAUUUGAUUCUUCUCUCUUUUCUUCUUUAUUAGUCUUGCUAGCGGUCUAUCAAUUUUG